rnacentral:rRNA from 1 species
GAUGAACGCUGGCGGCGUGCCUAAUACAUGCAAGUCGAGCGAACAGACGAGGAGCUUGCUCCUUUGACGUUAGCGGCGGACGGGUGAGUAACACGUGGAUAACCUACCUAUAAGACUGGGAUAACUUCGGGAAACCGGAGCUAAUACCGGAUAACAUGUUGAACCGCAUGGUUCAACAGUGAAAGACGGUCUUGCUGUCACUUAUAGAUGGAUCCGCGCCGCAUUAGCUAGUUGGUAAGGUAACGGCUUACCAAGGCAACGAUGCGUAGCCGACCUGAGAGGGUGAUCGGCCACACUGGAACUGAGACACGGUCCAGACUCCUACGGGAGGCAGCAGUAGGGAAUCUUCCGCAGUGGGCGAAAGCCUGACGGAGCAACGCCGCGUGAGUGAAGAAGGUCUUCGGAUCGUAAAACUCUGUUAUUAGGGAAGAACAAAUGUGUAAGUAACUAUGCACGUCUUGACGGUACCUAAUCAGAAAGCCACGGCUAACUACGUG